GUUUCGGAAGGCGAUCAAAGGAAUUAGGGUUUUGUAAUUGGAUCACAUCGCCCAACAUUCUAUUUUCAAACCAGAGCCUGCAGUCCAAUAAAAAGUUGUCAUCAUCUUCUUCCUUCCCUAUGUUGUAUUUCUCGCUAC